UACGGAGGGUGCAAGCGUUAUCCGGAUUCACUGGGUUUAAAGGGUGCGUAGGCGGAUAGGUAAGUCCGUGGUGAAAUCCUGCAGCUUAACUGCAGAACUGCCGUGGAUACUAUCUAUCUUGAAUAUCGUGGAGGUUAGCGGAAUAUGUCAUGUAGCGGUGAAAUGCUUAGAUAUGACAUAGGACACCAAUUGCGAAGGCAGCUUACUACACAGUUAUUGACACUGAGGCACGAAAGCGUGGGGAUCAAACAGG
rnacentral:rRNA from 1 species